GUUUACGACGAGAUGAGCAGAAAAUCGUCCGACCAAACAGCCAAUGAGAGUUCCUAUUGAAUUAAAAAAUUUCACUAUAUAAACUCUUGAAAAUAUACACCUAAGACACAGUUACUCGUUUGUUGUGCAUUAACUCACACUUCAAGUUCUUCUUUGCAUUUUUAAUCAAACCAACUUCAAUCUUCGAAAUGGGUAAAGAAAGAGUAUGCAUGGAAUUCUCCGCCGUCCAAGGCAAAGAAAGAAUCUGCUUUGAUAACAUCGUCGUCGUUGACCAAGGCAAAGAGAAAACCUCGAUGGAUUUCGUCGUCGUUGAACAAGGCAAAGAAAAGACCGCCAUGGAAAACAUCGUCGUCGUAGACCAAGGCAAAGAAAAAUCAUCGAUGGAUUUCGUUAUCGUUUAAAUGACCCGAACUGCCUCUAUUUUUAAGUUAAGUUUAGGUUUUUGUUUCUGAGUCACAAAAGUCAUCGAUAAAGAAAUGCAUUCUGGUUUUCAAUCAACGAUCGGUUGCGUGUAUUAGAUGAUUUACGACGUCUUAAAUUUUCGUAUAUGUUUCAUGUCGUAUUAUUAAAUUUCGUAAUAAACUGUUCAAUUACCGUAUAGGUACCUA